rnacentral:rRNA from 1 species
GACGAACGCUGGCGGCGUGCUUAACACAUGCAAGUCGAACGGAAAGGCCCCUUUGGGGGUACUCGAGUGGCGAACGGGGGCGUAACACGUGAGUAACCUGCCCUUGACUUCGGGAUAACUUCAGGAAACUGGGGCUAAUACCGGUUAGGAAUCCUUGCUUCAUGGGGGGGGUUGGAAAGCUUCGGCGGUUUUGGAUGGACUCGCGGCUUAUCAGCUUGUUGGUGGGGUAGUGGCUUACCAAGGCUUCGACGGGUAGCCGGCCUGAGAGGGCGACCGGCCACAUUGGGACUGAGAUACGGCCCAGACUCCUACGGGAGGCAGCAGUGGGGAAUAUUGCACAAUGGGCGGAGGCCUGAUGCAGCAACGCCGCGUGCGGGAUGACGGCCUUCGGGUUGUAAACCGAUUUCAGCAGGGGCGAAGCUUGUGGUGACGGUACCUGCAGAAGAAGCACCGGCUAACUACGUG